rnacentral:lncRNA from 1 species
GACAUCACUAAUGAUUAUGCAUCUGUUUACGUUAUAUGAUGCAUGUCUCCAGGAAUCCUCUUCACUUCUGGACCAGCAAUCUAAGAUCCUAAGUAAAGUGCUAUAUUUCAUCUCUGUGGUUAUCUACCACUCUCCUCUCCGCUACAGAAUGCAAAUUAUUUUCACCUCAAAUCAUCUGAUAUUUCUGGAAGCACAGCCCCUGCCUCUCUCUCAUUUCAGUGGUAACUGAAGACCAAGCUCACCACUGUGCUGUUGCUGUAGUCUUCAUCCAGACUUCACCAAACCAGAGCAUCACCCUUCCACGCAUAAAAAUGAUCACUUCCUCUUGAGGAAGCCGAGCACUGUCAAGCGUGAGAGGAUCCAGACUUGAAGCGUAUCACCGUUUCCGUCCAAACAGCCCGAAGGGGCCCACUUAAGUGGAAACGCUCACAUCUUUUAUCAGCAGAUGCCUCACUUCUCUUACACAUUUAUUAAAUUAAAGAAACAUCGUUUUUAUCUGCUCUGUAG